UACGGGGGGGGCAAGCGUUGUUCGGAAUUACUGGGCGUAAAGGGCCAGUAGGCGGCCAACUAAGUCGGAUGUGAAAUCCCCAGGCUCAACUUGGGAACUGCAUCCGAUACUGGAUGGCUUGAAUUCGGGAGAGGGAUGCAGAAUUCCAGGUGUAGCGGUGAAAUGCGUAGAUAUCAAGAGGAACACCUGCGGCGAAGGCGGGUUGCUGGGCCGACACUGACGCUGAAGCGCGAAAGCCAGGGGAGCGAACGGG
rnacentral:rRNA from 1 species